rnacentral:rRNA from 1 species
UACGAAGGGGGCUAGCGUUGUUCGGAUUUACUGGGCGUAAAGCGCACGUAGGCGGAUUGUUAAGUCAGGGGUGAAAUCCUGGAGCUCAACUCCAGAACUGCCUUUGAUACUGGCAAUCUUGAGUCCGGAAGAGGUGAGUGGAACUCCUAGUGUAGAGGUGGAAUUCGUAGAGAUGUGGAGGAACACCGAUGGCGAAGGCAGCCUUCUGGGCCAACACUGACGCUCAUGCACGAAAGCGUGGGGAGCAAACAGG